rnacentral:tRNA from 1 species
CGCGGGAUGGAGCAGUUUGGUAGCUCGUCGGGCUCAUAACCCGAAGGCCGAAGGUUCAAAUCCUUCUCCCGCUACCA